UAGAGGUCAAGAUCAGAUGUAGAAGUUAGCUGGAAAAAAACAGAGAAGGACAUAAUAAAUAGAGAGAGGUUUGGAGAAAGGACUUGCGUUUUUCAGAGAGUGAAGGAAGAAAAUGUUCUACACAGCUUAUGUUGCAUGCACCACAGUGCAUGGACUAGAAAAUGACCCCUUAAACCAUGAAUUUUGGGCGAUUUUCAAAAGGGAGAGAUCAGAAACAUGCGAGAGGAGAAGAGGAGAAGAGCUGAUGUGCUAGGGUAAGCCAUUUUGGGUCAUUGAAGGUGCUUCUGAUCAGUAACUUAGCAGGGAAUAGCUCAAGAAGUGUGGAUAGAGGAAAAUACCUCGAGGCUUAAGAUCGUGACCCAUUUGUAAUAAGCCUCCUUGUUUUAGGACUUGAGCUUAAUUAUGGGAUUGAAGGAGGAGGAUAUUGCAAAAAGUGGUGAAGCAAGUGUAGAAGUGAUGAAAUGAUUGAUGACGAAGUAGUGAUAAGGGUAAAGAAAAAGAGUCUGGACCAACAUAAUGGUGUCGUGAUUGUGUAAAAGCUUUGAGUUUGUGUAAUGAGCCGAUUUAGGGUGAAUUUUGUGUAUAUAAGUUGCCAUAGGGAUGCUUGCAAGUUUUGAGUAGUGAUUUUGUGAAAUCUUAACCCAAUUGUAUAUAUAUGUCGUGAAAUGAAUCAAGGGCUAAGAUUUGGGUGUAUAUGUGUUGAAAAUGUUGUGUUUUGUGAAUCUUAGCCCAUGUAUUAAAAUUAUGAUGAAAUAAGUAAUUUGGGGCUAAGAUUAUAUUGUGAAUAUGUUAUGGAUAUGGUUAUAUAUGAAUGUGCUGAGAAAAGGGGCCAAGUAGGUCAAAAUGUGCUGAUUUGUAAAAAGUUUA